rnacentral:rRNA from 1 species
GACAGAGGGUGCUAGCGUUGUUCGGAAUUACUGGGCGUAAGGCGCGUAGGCGGCUUGUUUAGUCGGGUGUGAAAUCCCGGGGCUCAACCCCGGAACUGCAUUCGAUACUGGCAGGCUAGAGACCGGAAGAGGUGGUGGAAUACCCAGUGUAGAGGUGAAAUUCGUAGAUAUUGGGUGGAACACCUGGUGGCGAAAGCGGCUGCACUGGACCACAACUGACGCUGAGGCGCGAAAGCUAGGGGAGCAAACAGG